AUGAGGGGUCUUUCUUUUCUGACUUGGAGACACCCAGCCAGCAAGAAGACAGAAAGGAGACUGCUCUGCACCCUCCACUCACCUGGGUCUACAGUGCCCCUAGGAGCUAGCCAAGUCACUGCCCAACUCUCCACAUGCCUGUAUCACUCACUGAGGACUGUGUGCGUGCUCACCGGGGUGAGCAUGGAGGAGGACUUUCUGGUUGAGACACACAUCCCAGAAGAGAGCGCCUGUGCCAGCGGUGACACCCUGCCUCCCCUAGCCCUGCUGCUGCAUCCUGGAGGGUCCUGAUGGGUCUCAGCCUCCCAGGCAUGGGAAGGGAAGGCACCUUGGCCACAGUUGCUGGUUCUGAGACCACAUGAUUUUCCUGGUGUGUCUGUCUCCAUCUCUUAUCUACCUCUUCCUGCCUAGAAAAUUCCAGACUUGGAACCUAUGUGAAUGUGACCCUUGUCUUUUGCUUUACCCAGGGGUGGGUUGACAUGAUUUUUUGUGUGGGAGACCCAGAAGUCAAUGAUGUAUAUCAGGAGUCAGGAGGAAAAAGACCCUGGAAAGAGAGGGAGGCAGCAGCUCUGUGUGCAUCACGAGGCAUGGCGAGAUGAGGACCUCCUCCAGUCAGAUGGCCAGAGUUCUGUGCUUUUCUUGCUUUUGGAAAAAGAGUCUAGUAAGCUUGCACUGUAAAAAAACAAAAUACAAAAGUGUCAACACACUUGGACAGAAGAUUGGCAUCCUAUUGAGGAGGCUGUGAAUGCUCAGGAGGCUACGCCUAUCACUGAGGUCUCCUCGAAAGCCCUUCUGAACAAGCUGUGUCUAUGCCUCCUUCUCCCUCCGCCUUCCUGCUCCCAACCUCCAUCAGUUCAUGUUUAAUUUCAUGUUGUCAAGGUUAACAUUCUUCUUUUCACUUGUCUAGUUU
rnacentral:lncRNA from 1 species